rnacentral:rRNA from 1 species
GGAUCAAUUUAUUGGUCGUGCUAUUGUACGUACUGGUAUUAUUGAUUCCUACCUUCUGACGAACCAUGAUGUCAUUAAUUUGGUGUCAUGGGGAAUCAGGACUGUUACUUUGAAAAAAUUAGAGUGUUUAUGGCAGGCCGGAGUGCUUGAAUACAUUAGCAUGGAAUAAUGGAAUAGGAC